rnacentral:snoRNA from 1 species
GGGGCCCAUAGGAUGAACCCCAAGGCCCGCUCCAUCGCCUGGCUCUCCAGGCUGAACUUUUUCCUGGCCGAUGUGCGCGACGGGCUGGGCCCUUUCCUGGGCGUGUUCCUGAUGGGCCAC